rnacentral:ncRNA from 3 species
AACGCACCUUGCGCUCCUUGGUAUUCCGAGGAGCAUGCCUGUUUGAGUGUCAUUAAAUUCUCAACCUUAUUAGCUUUUGCUGAUGAUGGCUUGGAUUUGGGGGUCUUUUGCCGGCUUUUAACAAAGUCAGCUCCCCUUAAAUGCAUUAGCUGGUACCCUCUGGUGGAACCGUCUAUUGGUGUGAUAAUUAUCUACGCCGUGGACAUCUGCCCUUAGAGUAGGUGUGCUGCUUCUAACCGUCUGUUCAUUCGGACAAUACAUAUGACAUUUUGACCUCAAAUCAGGUAGGACUACCCGCUGAACUUAA